GGGGCUGAUUCUGGAUUCGACGGGAUUUGCGAAACCCAAGGUGCAUGCCGAGGGGCGGUUGGCCUCGUAAAAAGCCGCAAAAAAUAGUCGCAAACGACGAAAACUACGCUUUAGCAGCUUAAUAACCUGCUUAGAGCCCUUUCUCCCUAGCCUCCGCUCUUAGGACGGGGAUCAAGAGAGGUCAAACCCAAAAGAGAUCGCGUGGAAGCCCUGCCUGGGGUUGAAGCGUUAAAACUUAAUCAGGCUAGUUUGUUAGUGGCGUGUCCGUCCGCAGCUGGCAAGCGAAUGUAAAGACUGACUAAGCAUGUAGUACCGAGGAUGUAGGAAUUUCGGACGCGGGUUCAACUCCCGCCAGCUCCACCA
rnacentral:tmRNA from 1 species